AUGCCAUCUGGAAAAAGAAGACAAAAGAUGGAAACCUCUUAAGAUGAAAGAAAUGGUUCCCUUAGGGAAUUUGAACCUGAAAGAGACCAUUUUAAACUAGAGAAGUAGAAUGACCUCCAGUUGUCAAGUUUACAUUUUCUCCAUCUGCAGAAAUGGGGACUCUAGAGCUAAAUGAGCUUUCUUUCCUCUGGGCGCACAGUAGGACUGCACUUCCCUGCCCGCUUGAAGAUACACACAGCCACGUGACUUGCCUUGGCCAAUGGCAUGUGAGCAGAAGUGACACUUCAGUAAAAGUGAGGAUUGUCUUUCUGGGGCUGAUUAGACGAGAACUGCAAGCAGACACUGGCUGUGACAGAAGAGUGUGAAAGGAUUUGAAAGAGGCCACCUGGGAUCUUAUUGGGUUUAAAUUGUACAAUAAACCUGACACAGUGUGUCUAAACUCAGGAUGGUUUCAUCAUAUUCUGUGUAAUUGACACCAGAAAGAAUCCUAUCUCAUACAGCUGAGAUUAGUCCUAUUAUUGCCUGGAAUAUGAGCCUCCUUCACAAUGGGCAAAUGUCAUCAGCUGCCAUGCUGGGAAGACCCUCAGACAUCCUAUGGAGAGAUCCACAUGGUGGGGAGGAGAGGCCUGCCAACAACCAUCUGUGUGAACUUGGAGGUGAAUCUUCUGAGGACUGCCAACGUGAAUAAAUUUGAAAGUGGAUCUUUGACACCUAAGUGGAGCCUUCCCGUUAAACUGCAGCCGUGGAAAACAGCUUGACGGCAACCUCCUUAGAGAUUGAAGGGCAGUCAGAUUGCAGUGCAGAUCCCACCAUGUUGGUCCACCUGUAACUCUGCUCUUCAGGAUAGAAAAGUGUAUGUAUAUCAUGGUAGGUCAAAUAGUAGAAACCCCAAAAUGUCCACAUCCUAAUCCAUGGAACCUAUGAAUAUGUUAGGUCACAUGGUAAAAGGGAAAUUGCAGAUGUAAUUAAGGUUACAAACUUUAAAAUAGAGAGAUUAUUCUGGAUGAUCCAGUGGGCCCAGUCGAAUCACAUGAAGCCUUAAAAUCAGAGAACUUUCUCUGGCUGGAGGUAAGAGAGAUUUGGCAGAAGUCAAAGUUGGAGAGAUUUGAAGUGUGAGAGGAACCCCGCCACUGCUGUGCUGGGGAGAAUGUGUCCAGAAUAAGAUUGAAUAUGGGCAGCCUCUAGGGGCAAACACCAGCUCCCAGCAGACAGCCAGCAAGGACCUGGGAGGUCAGCCCUACAUCUGUCAGGAACUGAAUUCAGCCAAAAACCUGAACGAGCUUGGAAGCAAUUCAUCCAAAAUGUCUCCAGGAGGAAUGAAGUCCUGCUGAUACCUUCAUUUUGGCCUUGUGAAACCCAGAGCAGAGGAAUCAGUCCAGCCAACUGGGACUUUGGAUCUA